rnacentral:rRNA from 1 species
CAAAAACAUAGCUACCUGAAAACAUUAUAUGUAGUGCCGCCUGCUCAAUGAUUAACCAUAAACACACAAAAGAUAAUUAAAUAGCUGCGGUAACACUUAACCGCACAAAGGUAGCACAACAAAUAGCCUAUUAAUUACAGGAUCGCAUGAAGGCAUCACGAAAUUAAAACUGUCUCAAAACUCUACUAGACAAAAUAGAAUGUGUGUGAAAACCCACACGAAAACGGCAAGACGAUAAGACCCUAAGAACUUUACCCAAAACUUCAAACAAUGUAAAAUAACAAAAAACACACAAAUGAAGUCCUAAGUUUCGUUGGGGCAACGGUCUCAAAAAAAGUAACUAAGACUAAACAAAUCAAUAAUAUAACAACAAGAGAUAAAUUAAAUCAAUAACAGAAUAACAAGAUAAGACCCAUUAAAAUCAAAACAAUUAAUGAAUAAAACACAAAAGUUCCUUAGGGAUAACAGCGUAAUAUUGUCACACAGGAAAAUUUUCAAACAAUGUUUGCGACCUC